rnacentral:lncRNA from 1 species
CGGCGGGAAAAGGAGCGAGAGGGCGGGCGCCCGGGCGGGACACGGAGGGCGGGGGCCGAGAAGGGGCUUUCUCCCCCUCCCCGGGCACGCGGCGAGGGAGGCGGCCGGCGGCCGGCAGCGCCCGCGCGGGAUCGAUGACUCGGCUGGCGGGCACGGUCACCUGGGUGAGGGGCAGCGGAAGGGGCGGCGGAGCACCGAUCUCAUGGAUGGGCUCCGAGGGGCUUGCGGGAGGGGGGCGCCAGUGUUCGGGGCCGUUUUGGCGGCUAUGCAGGAUUGGCAGGAGCUGCGAUGCUCACACUUGCCUCGCCGACCGCCAUUUCACAUCCAGCAGAGGAGGCGGGGGCAGCCGCUGAGACGGUUUUUCACAAGGAAAUGACCUCAUUCUUGAUGGCUGCUGCUAACUUAUGGUGAGAUGCUGGGUCCCUGCCCAAUACCACAUGGACAUCCAAUCAAUUUACCCAGGGACAAGUCCACUCAAGAGCAUCAUUUAGAAGAGGGAAAAGGCACUGGGGUUAUUUGUUUUUGGAGUAUGUGCUUAAGGAAAUCUAGAGGUAAGCAGUUUUUGAGUGUUACUAGUGGUGUCAGAAUCACUAAAAACAUUCAUACAAAAUGCUGGUUACUUUUUAAGC